GUUCCAGUGGGAGACAGCAGCGGUGUGUUCGGUGCGCUUGACCGUGUGCACAACGAGCUUUAGCUGUUAGCAGCUAGCUUUAGCCCAACUAUCUACAGACACCUUUGUUUUAGCCAAGUGGACAUUGACAUAUACAACGUUUUCCUGUUAGGGAAUCCUACAUAUUAUUUGACUCACAUAGAAGUGGUUAUGAAAAAUAAAUCAAUGCACACACAAGAUUCAGAACAGACAAAAAAUAUUAGACAAGAGAGCUCAGGGUAUUUUUUGAGAACCACAAGUUGGAGCUCAAAACAUAAAAAUGUGCUUGAUUCCAUCUCUCUCUAAAUGAGCCGCUCUUUGACCCUUGCAUGAAGCAAAACAAUGAUUAUUUCUCUGAUUCACUGCUUCCACCAGUCAAUAAGUAUACGUCUUUAUCUAAAAAGAAACAACUAACCUUCACAUAUAUAUCUGUUUGUCAUUUUGAACCUCUGUAUUGGGUUUUAGUUUGCUUUGUAAAUACUUUGCAUUUUUGGGGGUUCAAUAUGAUUUAUCUUUUCGGUGAAAUUUGGUAUAAUUUCUUGCUUGUUUUGUUCAUAUUACAUAGACAUCUUUUCUCUUUGGGGUCAUUGUUUCUGCUUCUCUUUGGUGUUGCUGCUUCUCUCUGAGGUCAUUUUCUGGUGGCCGGCUGCUCGCUGAGAGAUGAUUUGCUGGAGUUUGAGCUGAAAGAGUUUCUGAUGAAGGUCAAUGAUUUCAGUUCGACACGUUGGCGUCAAACAAUUUGCAUAUAAUUUCUUUUGAGUUACUUUUAUUUUGUUAAACAUGUGCUUCUAAAUCCAAUUAGCUGUAUCCAUUGAUUCUGACCUCUUCACUAGCAGACAGUCCUGCUGUGCACAACAAACCUCCAUUCCACCACACAAACAUUGUUUCAGACUAACAUGACCAUAGAUAACAGUGGGACAUAAUCAAUUGUUAAAACAUUUGUUUUUAAAUAAAAGUGCAUUCUUUGUACUUGGGCUUCUAAGUUUCUCGUCUAAAUAUCACAAUAAUAAUAAUAAUAGAAAACAUACCUGCACGGUGGCUGGAUGCAUAAUUUCUGAUCUUGUAAGUAGCUUCUCAAAUGCAUUUCAUUUUGUGGCAUUACAACUAGUGUAUAAGCCAAUCUCGCAUCAAUAUGCCAUCUCUAUAAGAACUCAAAUGAGUUGGUAUUAGCGAAUUACCAUUUAAAGGAGAGCGUUCUAUAUCUUUAGCAAUGUUUAAAUAAUUGAACUAAUAGGACUUGUGACUGCCGUUCAGCUUUUGAAAUGUUUUCAAUUUUUUUUUACGUUUGAUCUGUUCUUACAAUGUCAUCAGGUAUCAUUAUCUUGAUAUUGUUUAACUUUUAUUUAUUUUUGACGUUUGAUUUGGUUGAUCUUGCUUCUACAGUGUAUUUAUUUAUUACCUUUUUUGAAUGUUGCUGUAUCAGAAAGUGCAGAAGUUCUUCAGGUUUGAUUCUGAUUUGAGAGCAGAAAGAAACACGGAGAAAAGGAUUUGGUUUCUUAUUUUAAUGAUUGGACUGACUCACUGAUUGACUACUGGAGCUUUAAAACCUCUGUUUGAUAUUUACAAAAGUGAGACCUAAAAGAUUGUGUGUGAGUCAGUAGUGUUUGAGGACGUGAAAAGCACGGCGGGGAACACUGUACAAUAUUGAAUGGUUGAUGGAAUUUACAAAUUAGAAAUACAGACUUUGAAUCUGUCCUACAUUAAAUACAAUAAAUGAAGAACAAAAAAGAGAAUUGGCAGCCUAACGUCUACCAAAUACAAUUUCAACUAUAUUAAGAUCAUCCAAGUGGGUGUAGUGUAUGACAAACAGUUUGUGGUUUGAACACUUUGAAGGAGCAAAGACCAGUAAGAGCUAGCAGCCUAACGUGAGUGCGAUACAAAUAGAUCAUUUGAAUGACAUCUGUCCUCACUUAAGUAUUACUCAAGCUCUUACCUAAAUUAACCUUAUUGACUAAGUGCAUUUCGAUGCUUUAGGAGAAACCGAUAACUAUGCUCAAGCACACUGUGCACACUU
ensembl:lncRNA